GUGAGGGGAUAUGAGAAAGCCGGCAGAUGUAGCUUUUUCAACAAGGUUAACUUUUUACUAAUGAUCAAAAGGGCCCAGCUCAUAUGAAAACAUGCUUCACUACUGGGGCAAGCAAAGGGCCUACUGGAGUAAAUGCCCCAGUAGUUAUAUAGUUAAAAAAUGCUCUGGAACUAUCUGAGAAAUACCUGGAGAACUUUCGACGUUUCGAGCUGCUAUGAUGAAGGCCUAUGAUUUGCUGAA